UAUUUUGAUACUUAAUUAUAUGGGCCGGUUUAAUGUUCUUCGUGUUAACUAUGUGCUGUUAUUAAGUUGUUAUUAAUAUUGAAAUACAGAAGAAAAUAAUGUUAAGUAAUUUUUAUAAAUUAAACUUAAGACAAUUAAGUUUACUUGGGCAUGCAUUUAACAAUGUAGGGGCCCAUUACAGUACACAACCGAAUUAUCAAAAUAUUUUCGAUAGAAAUUCUAAAAAGCUACAAAAGGAAAGGGCUGCAAAAAGUGACGACGUCGAGUUGUAUGAUUACCUCAAAGAAGAGGUCGGUUAUAGAGUGGCAGAUCGAGUAUUUGAUAUAAAAAGGGAAUUUGAUAAUGCUGCAGAUUUAGGUUGCAAUCGAGGUUUCUUAUCUCGUCACAUUUUGGCAGAGAGCGUAAAACAUUUAACACUAUGUGAUAUCAGUCCAACUAUGCUUGCUCAGGCAAAAGGAACGCCUGGUUUACACAUUACAAAAAUGGAAUUAGACGAAGAACAAUGGAACUUUCCGGAAAAUUCUUUGGAUUUAGUAAUUUCUUCUUUAAGUCUUCAUUGGGUCAACGAUUUACCAGGCUGUUUUAGUAAAGUUAUAAACAGUUUAAAACCUGACGGAGUAUUUAUUGCAUCAAUGUUUGGAGGCGAUACUCUUUAUGAACUGAGAUCUUCAUUACAACUGGCUGAGUUAGAAAGAAAGGGGGGAAUAGCUCCUCAUAUAUCACCCUUUACACAGAUACGAGAUAUAGGUUCGUUACUCAAUCGCGCAGGUUAUACCAUGCUGACCAUAGACACUGAUGAGAUCGUCAUAGGGUAUCCUUCUAUGUUUGAACUUAUGUGGGACCUUAAGGGUAUGGCAGAAAAUAAUGCAGCGUUUAACAGACCAGUACAUUUAAGCAGAGACACCAUGAUGGCUGCCAGUGCUAUCUACAAGGAAAUGUACCAAACGGACAAUGGUGUUCCAGCGACAUUUCAGAUCAUUUAUUUUGUCGGUUGGAAACCGGGACCUAACCAACCAACUCCACUUCCAAGAGGCUCUAGUGAUGUAUCAUUAAAGGAUCUGGGUAAAAUGAUAGAAAAUAGUGGAAAUAAAACAACAAAGAAAUCAAACUAAUCGCGAAAAAGAAUUAACCAAGACUGUUGGAAAUAAAACAGCAUACAUACCUUUUUUAUUUCAUGAUUUAAUACAAUAAUAUGGUUCUUGUACUUCGUGUGUCAAGUUGACACUGUUUGUCGUCAUCAAAAAAAAAUAUAUAUAUAUAUUUUUUGUAAAUUUUAUAGGCAAAAAAUUAAAUAUAAUUAAACAUGUC